GGGGGUGUAUCUCAAGUGGUAGAGCGCAUGCUUAGCGUGCACGAGGUUCUGGGUUCGAUUCCCAGUACCUCCU
rnacentral:tRNA from 1 species